rnacentral:misc_RNA from 1 species
CCGGUUGUGCGAUGAUGGCUUCUCGUUGUCAGGAAAGUGAACCGGAGAAGGGGUCGAUCGGAGAGAGCGUUGUGGUGCCGGAAAGAGCGGUGCCUACGCGCGGCCGUUGAGCACAGUCGUCAGUCGCCUGCUGCCGGCAACGCCAUGACUCCGAGCUCCCUCCAGCUGCUGUUGGCCGCAGCCCUUCUGUGGUGUCUGGUAGCGCCCGGUAGCACGGGCAUCAUCCUAACGGGGGUGGCGCCGGGCUACGAGCCUGAGCAGCCCACCUUCAUGUACACGAACUUCGGCGUCGUGUUCGGCACGCGCGAGCUGCAGAAGCAGUACCAGUUCAACUCGGCCACCGACGAGAUCAACCACCAUCACACCGACAUCGUCGGCACGCGGGGUCGCAUCCGCGAGAACGUGACUCCGUACCAAGGGGACCCCAACCGCAGGCCGACACACACCGUCGACCACAACCGGAAGAAGAAGUGAGCACCGCCCAGCUGCCGAAGAUCUGCAGGCAUGGCCGUCUGGCGCGAAUCUCCUGCGUCACAUGGUUCCUGCUGGUGUCGUGUGGAUUGUCUAAAGGCGGACGCCUGCAGCAGCAGCCACUCUCUCAGACGUAAAGAGAACAACAGCGCAAAACAAGCAAGAUAUGACCACUUGGAGAAGCACCAUUUGUCGGUGUUAAUGAUUUUUUUCAAGCACCGGGCGCAACAGAUUUGCAAACUGCUCACCUACAACAACAACUUCCAUGACCUUUGACACUUUUGCCCGUAAUCUUAAAUGCCUAUAAAUGUAUCUACGCAGAAGCACAGGAGUCAAAAUCUGAAAACUUUGCAAAUACGUGACGUCCUUAGCUUCUACAUGAGCUUGGAUCUUUGAACGCCCAUAAACUUCAUUUCGAGUAAGGAGUAGACAUAACAAUAAUUUAUUUCAACUAUAGCAACAUAACUAGAGAUGAUCAGUUUUGCGACAUCCUUGAUACGCACGCCUUUUUGGCGUGUUACUUUGUCGAGACGCUGUUGAUCAAGUUACUGCCCUUAAUACAUGAGAAGAUGAGUAAUGACCGCUCUAGGCUGUUUAGCAACCAACAUAGACCGUUUCUGAAAGAAUUCGGUAAGAAGGAAGACGCAUAUGUCCUCAUUCUUACUCUCCGCUUGUUCCUUCU